rnacentral:rRNA from 1 species
AGAAAUAGCAAUACCACCUUGUGAAUGCCUGAUCUCUUCAGAUCUCAGAAUGUAAGCUGGGUUGGGCCUGGUUAUUAUUG